GCACAAUGGGAAUAUUCCCAAUGGGCCAAGCCUGAGCAGCCUUGCCGCUGUUUGAAGAAGCCUUCGGGUUUGUAAAGUACUUUCAGCAGUGAGGAAGGUGGGUAUGUUAAUAGCAUAUUCAUUUGACGUUAGCUGCAGAAGAAGCACCGGCUAAUUUCGUGCCAGCAGCCGCGGUAAUACGGAGGGUGCGAGCGUUAAUCGGAAUUACUGGGCGUAAAGCGCAUGCAGGUGGUUUGUUAAGUCAGAUGUGAAAGCCCGGGGCUCAACCUCGGAAUUGCAUUUGAAACUGGCAAACUAGAGUACUGUAGAGGGGGGUAGAAUUUCAGGUGUAGCGGUGAAAUGCGUAGAGAUCUGAAGGAAUACCGGUGGCGAAGGCGGCCCCCUGGACAGAUACUGACACUCAGAUGCGAAAGCGUGGGGAGCAAACAGGAUUAGAUACCCUGGUAGUCCACGCCGUAAACGAUGUCUACUUGGAGGUUGUGGCCUUGAGCCGUGGCUUUCGGAGCUAACGCGUUAAGUAGACCGCCUGGGGAGUACGGUCGCAAGAUUAAAACUCAAAUGAAUUGACGGGGGCCCGCACAAGCGGUGGAGCAUGUGGUUUAAUUCGAUGCAACGCGAAGAACCUUACCUACUCUUGACAUCUACAGAAGCCAGCGGAGACGCAGGUGUGCCUUCGGGAACUGUAAGACAGGUGCUGCAUGGCUGUCGUCAGCUCGUGUUGUGAAAUGUUGGGUUAAGUCCCGCAACGAGCGCAACCCUUAUCCUUGUUUGCCAGCACUUCGGGUGGGAACUCCAGGGAGACUGCCGGUGAUAAGCCGGAGGAAGGUGGGGACGACGUCAAGUCAUCAUGGCCCUUACGAGUAGGGCUACACACGUGCUACAAUGGCGCAUACAGAGGGCGGCCAACUUGCGAAAGUGAGCGAAUCCCAAAAAGUGCGUCGUAGUCCGGAUUGGAGUCUGCAACUCGACUCCAUGAAGUCGGAAUCGCUAGUAAUCGUGGAUCAGAAUGCCACGGUGAAUACGUUCCCGGGCCUUGUACACACCGCCCGUCACACCAUGGGAGUGGGCUGCAAAAGAAGUGGGUAGUUUAACCUUCGGGAGGACGCUCACCACUUUGUGGUUCAUGACUGGGGUGAAGUCGUAACAAGGUAACCG
rnacentral:rRNA from 1 species